AUGGGAGGAUUCACGCCUCCAAUCCCGCAGGACGACAGCAACUGGGAGAUCCGCGUGGCGGUGCUGCUCAGCCUCUUCCUCCAGAUGAUCCUCAUCUUCGUCGGCCCCGUCCGCAAGCGCUCCUCCUCCCCCGUCCCCCGCUUCCUCGUCUGGGCAUGCUACCUCCUCGCCGACUGGGUCGCCGACCUCGCCCUCGGCCUCCUCCUCAACAACAUGGGCAACAUCGGCGGCUCCCAGUCCACCUCCUCCUCCACCAUCACCCAGCACGCCACCGGCCUCAAGCGCGGUUCCCCCACCAACGCCGACGCCGGCAAUAGCAGCCCCAUCAUCUUCGCCUUCUGGACGCCCUUCCUGCUGCUCCACCUGGGCGGCCCCGACACCAUCACCGCCUACUCCCUCGAGGACAACGAGCUGUGGCUCCGCCACCUCAUCGGCCUCCUCUUCGAGCUCUUCUCCGCCUCCGUCAUCUUCUUCUGCUCCCUCAAGGGCAACCCCAUGAUCCCCGCCACCGUCCUCAUGUUCGUCGUCGGCAUCAUCAAGUACGGUGAGCGCACCUACUCGCUCUACUCCGGCAGCGUCGACGGCUUCCGGGAGAACAUCCUCGACCCUCCUGACCCGGGCCCAAACUACGCCAAGCUCAUGACCGAGUUCGACGCCAAGGAGCAGGCCGGACUGGUCGUCGAUAUCGUGUUCGCCGGCGCUGACGACGAGGCCAAGAAAGCCCUGGCGGACCUUGAGGAAGGCGAGGCCGCGCGACUCGUGAAUAAUCGCAGCAAGAGCCUUGAGUCGCAGGCGUUCGACUUCUUCCUCAUCUUCCGCCGCCUCUUCGUCAACCUCAUCCUAAGCUACAAGGAGCGCAAGAUCAGCCAAGCCUACUUCCUCGAUCGCGAGGACGUGACCAACUCGCCGGCCAAGGCGUUCCAGGUCAUCGAGGUGGAGCUCAACUUCAUCUACGACAUGGUGUACACCAAGGCCCCCGUCGCCCACAGCAGGGCCGGCUGCGUCCUCCGCUUCCUCGCCUCCGCCUGCCUCGUCUCCUCCCUCCUCAUCUUCUUCUUCCACGGCGACAAGGGCAGCUUCAUGCACGUCGACAUCGCCAUCACCUAUGCGCUGCUCCUGGGCGGGAUAGCACUCGACGGCGUCGCGCUCGCCAUGCUCCUGUCCUCUCACCGGAUGCUCGUCCUCCUCGAGAAGACACGGUGGCUGGAGUGGCUCUCGCGCGCCGUCAGGUCCGUGCGGCCACGGCUGCGGCGCUGGUCAGAGAGGACCUCGCAGCUGAACCUCGUGAGCUAUUGCCUGGGCAAGCCGGACUCUGCCAGCAGCGGCCUCCGCGGCUGUUUGGGCGGCCCGCGGAUGGCCCGGGCGCUCGCCAGGGUCGCGGAGACGCUGCACGUCCGGGAGAUCUUUGACGAUUUCUUCUUCAUCCGGCGCGAGCGCCUCAGCUGCUCGGGUCAGGAGAAGGGACCCCUACUUGAUUUUGUGUUUGGUAGGCUCAAGGAGAGGGCCACCGAAGCCAAGGCCAUCAAAGACACAACGGCGGCGUGCAGCUGCCGCGGCGAGGGAGUCCUUGAGAAGCUUCGUACUCAGAUCAUGGAGAACCUGAAGAAAGCAACACCAGAAGCCGCAGGUGCGAAAGAGGAGGAGGUCAUCAGUAACAAGGACAAGGACAAGGACGCAACACCAGAAGCCGCAGGUGCGAAAGAGAAGGAGGCCAUCGGUAACAAGGACAAGGUGGAAGAGAAGUUGCACGUACUUGAGAGCAGCGUGAACAGAGACAGAGAGUUCGACGAGUCACUGCUGCUGUGGCACAUCGCCACGGACCUGUGCUGCUACCCGUUCCAGCAUACAGCGCCGACCAAGGCUACGAGCAACAUGAAGCCAAUCGCCAACACCCUGUCGGAGUACAUGCUAUAUCUUCUGAUCAAGCAGCCGGAGAUGCUGUCCGCGACGGCGGGCAUCGGGCUGCUCCGCUACCGUGACACGUGCGCCGAGGCCAAGCGCUUCUUCGAGUCAGCGGCGGCGUGGGACCCGGACCAUAAGGACGCGCGGAGGAUGCUGCUGAGCGUGAACACGACAGAGAAGCCGUCGGUGGUGAAGGGCGACAGGUGCAAAUCAGUGCUGUUCGACGCCGUCAUCCUGGCCAAGGUGCUGAGGGAGCUGGGUGAUGAUCUCAUGUGGGAGGUGGUGGCGGGGGUGUGGGGGGAGAUGCUCACGUACGCAGCGGGCAAGUGCCGCGGGAGCACGCACGUCCGGCAGCUCAGCCGCGGCGGCGAGCUCAUCACCAUGGUCUGGUUCCUCAUGGCGCACAUGGGCCUCGGCGACAUGUACCGGAUCCACGAGGGAGACGCCAAGGCCAAGCUCAUCGUCCGUGGCCAGUAG
rnacentral:rRNA from 1 species